rnacentral:lncRNA from 1 species
CUCAUUUCUUUCUUCUUCUCUCUAUACGUUGGUGUUCUAACCCAUAAUCAUUCAAUCGCUAUUACGAUUCAUUUUCCGACCGAUCAAUAUAUCCAAUGGAUGUUUAAGUGCCGCCCAUAUUAGGGUUAUACUUUGUCGUUCGUCGUUAAUUCGAUGAAUGUUUAAGUAUCGCGCUUUGUCGUUCGUUGUGAGAAUUUGAUCUCGUGAGUUAUCGUAAAAGCUGUAUUGAUCAUUAACCCGGUUUUUGUGAAAUUCGUUAAGGUUCGAAUCUCAUGACUACCGUUAAGGUUUGAUUUGGGUUUUGCACCAAUACGUAUUCCAUUCUGUUAAACCACCAAAAAUACUCCCAACUACACCCUUACAAUCAAACAAACUAUUAAAUCAUCAGAAGAUCCAGAAUAAUAAAGUGCAUGCUUAAUUAUCGGAAGAAGUAGAAUCAAGAAGUUUGUUAACUCAAUCCUGCAUGCUGAUUAGUAAUUACAGUAGAUUGGAGUAAGGAUUGGAU